rnacentral:rRNA from 1 species
UACGUGGAGGGCUAGCGUUGCUCGGAAUCACUGGGCGUAAAGGGUGCGUAGGCGGGUCUUUAAGUCGGGGGUGAAAUCCUGGGGCUCAACCUCAGAAUUGCCUCCGAUACUGGCAGUCUCGAGUGCGGGAGAGGUGAGUGGAACUGCGAGUGUAGAGGUGAAAUUCGUAGAUAUUCGCAAGAACACCAGUGGCGAAGGCGGCUUACUGGUCCGGUUCUGACGCUGAGGCGCGAAAGCGUGGGGAGCAAACAGG